rnacentral:rRNA from 1 species
CAAUAGCGUAUAUUAAAGUUGUUGCAGUUAAAAAGCUCGUAGUUGGAUUUCUGAUCGAGACAUCAGGUCGGGUCCGAGAGGAUCAUGUACCUUGAUUUUGUUUUGAUCAUCCUUGGGGAGAGCAUUUCUGGCAUUCAGUUGUCGGGAUUGGGAUCCUCAUCGUUUACUGUGAAAAAAUUAGAGUGUUCAAAGCAGGCCUCGGCCUCUGAAUACAUUAGCAUGGAAUAAUAAGAUAGGACUUUGGUGGUCUAUUUUGUUGGUUUGCACGCCAAAGUAAUGAUUAAUAGGGAUAGUUGGGGGUAUUCGUAUUCAAUUGUCAGAGGUGAAAUUCUUGGAUUUAUGGAAGACGAACUACUGCGAAAGCAUUUACCAAGGAUGUUUUCAUUAA